GGGGGAUAUUGCGCAAUGGGGGCAACCCUGACGCAGCAACGCCGCGUGAAGGAUGAAGGUUUUCGGAUUGUAAACUUCUUUUAUUAAGGACGAAAAAUGACGGUACUUAAUGAAUAAGCUCCGGCUAACUACGUGCCAGCAGCCGCGGUAAUACGUAGGGAGCAAGCGUUGUCCGGAUUUACUGGGUGUAAAGGGUGCGUAGGCGGCUUUGCAAGUCAGAUGUGAAAUCUAUGGGCUCAAUCCAUAAACUGCAUUUGAAACUGUAGAGCUUGAGUGAAGUAGAGGCAGGCGGAAUUCCCCGUGUAGCGGUGAAAUGCGUAGAGAUGGGGAGGAACACCAGUGGCGAAGGCGGCCUGCUGGGCUUUAACUGACGCUGAGGCACGAAAGCGUGGGUAGCAAACAGGAUUAGAUACCCUGGUAGUCCACGCUGUAAACGAUGAUUACUAGGUGUGGGGGGUCUGACCCCUUCCGUGCCGGAGUUAACACAAUAAGUAAUCCACCUGGGGAGUACGGCCGCAAGGUUGAAACUCAAAGGAAUUGACGGGGGCCCGCACAAGCAGUGGAGUAUGUGGUUUAAUUCGAAGCAACGCGAAGAACCUUACCAGGUCUUGACAUCCAACUAACGAAGUAGAGAUACAUUAGGUGCCCUUCGGGGAAAGUUGAGACAGGUGGUGCAUGGUUGUCGUCAGCUCGUGUCGUGAGAUGUUGGGUUAAGUCCCGCAACGAGCGCAACCCUUGCUAUUAGUUGCUACGCAAGAGCACUCUAAUAGGACUGCCGUUGACAAAACGGAGGAAGGUGGGGACGACGUCAAAUCAUCAUGCCCCUUAUGACCUGGGCUACACACGUACUACAAUGGAUGUUAACAGAGGGAAGCAAGACAGCGAUGUGGAGCAAACCCCUAAAAACAUUCUCAGUUCAGAUUGCAGGCUGCAACCCGCCUGCAUGAAGAUGGAAUUGCUAGUAAUCGCGGAUCAGCAUGCCGCGGUGAAUACGUUCCCG
rnacentral:rRNA from 1 species